rnacentral:ncRNA from 2 species
GUGCCUACUGAGCUGAUAUCAG